ACGCACGCUGGCGGCGUGCUUAACACAUGCAAGUCGAACGGUGAAGCGCCUUCCUUUUUGGUGGGUGUGGAUGAGUGGCGAACGGGUGAGUAACACGUGGGUAACCUGCCCCCUUCUUCUGGAUAACCGCAUGAAAGUGUGGCUAAUACGGGAUAUUCUGGGUCUGUCGCAUGAUGGGUCUGGGAAAGAUAUUGUUUCGGUGGGGGAUGGGCUCGCGGCCUAUCAGCUUGUUGGUGGGGUGAUGGCCUACCAAGGCGGUGACGGGUAGCCGGCCUGAGAGGGUGGACGGUCACACUGGGACUGAGACACGGCCCAGACUCCUACGGGAGGCAGCAGUGGGGAAUAUUGCACAAUGGGCGCAAGCCUGAUGCAGCGACGCCGCGUGAGGGAUGGAGGCCUUCGGGUUGUGAACCUCUUUCGCCAGUGAGGCAGGCCUGCCUCGUUUGUGGGUGGGUUGACGGUAGCUGGAUAAGAAGCGCCGGCUAACUACGUG
rnacentral:rRNA from 1 species